AGUGAACGCUGGCGGUAGGCCUAACACACGCAAGUCGAACGGCAGCACAGUAAGAGCUUGCUCUUACGGGUGGCGAGUGGCGGACGGGUGAGGAAUACAUCGGAAUCUACUUUUUCGUGGGGGAUAACGUAGGGAAACUUACGCUAAUACCGCAUACGACCUACGGGUGAAAGCAGGGGAUCUUCGGACCUUGCGCGAUUGAAUGAGCCGAUGUCGGAUUAGCUAGUUGGCGGGGUAAAGGCCCACCAAGGCGACGAUCCGUAGCUGGUCUGAGAGGAUGAUCAGCCACACUGGAACUGAGACACGGUCCAGACUCCUACGGGAGGCAGCAGUGGGGAAUUUUGGACAAUGGGCGCAAGCCUGAUCCAGCCAUACCGCGUGGGUGAAGAAGGCCUUCGGGUUGUAAAGCCCUUUUGUUGGGAAAGAAAAGCAGCAGGUUAAUACCCCGCUGUUCUGACGGUACCCAAAGAAUAAGCACCGGCUAACUUCGUG
rnacentral:rRNA from 1 species